rnacentral:rRNA from 1 species
GACGAACGCUGGCGGCGUGCCUAAUACAUGCAAGUCGAGCGGAACUGGGGGAGCUUGCUCCUUCCAGUUUAGCGGCGGACGGGUGAGUAACACGUGGGCAACCUGCCCUGCAGAUCGGGAUAACUCCGGGAAACCGGUGCUAAUACCGAAUAGUUUGGCGCCUCUCCUGAGGCGCUACGGAAAGACGGUUUCGGCUGUCACUGCAGGACGGGCCCGCGGCGCAUUAGCUAGUUGGUGGGGUAACGGCCCACCAAGGCGACGAUGGGUGGCCGACCUGGGAGGGUGACCGGCCGCACUGGGACUGAGACACGGCCCAGACUCCUACGGGAGGCAGCAGUAGGGAAUCUUCCGCAAUGGACGCAAGUCUGACGGAGCAACGCCGCGUGAGUGACGAAGGUUUUCGGAUCGUAAAACUCUGUUGUGAGGGAAGAACACGUACCAACUAACUAUUGGUACCUUGACGGUACCUCGCCAGAAAGCCACGGCUAACUACGUGCCAGCCGCCGCCGUAA